rnacentral:rRNA from 1 species
CCCUUAGAUGUUCUGGGCUGCACGCGAGCUACAAUGGCGCUUGCAACAAGUCUUGCCAACCCGAUAGGGUGAGCGGAUCUUUGAAGAGGCGUCGUGAUCGGGACAGUUGAUUGCAAUUAUUCGACUCGAACGAGGAAUUCCUUGUAAUCGCGAUUCAUCAUAUCGCGCUGAAUACGUCCCUGCCCUUUGUACACACCGCCCGUCGCUCCUACCGAUUGAGCGAUCCGGUGAAUGUUUUGGACUGGCGUCAGAAGCGGUUCGCUACUGACACUACGAAAUUUUGUAAACCUUAUCGCUUAGAGGAAGGAAAAGUCGUAACA